rnacentral:tRNA from 1 species
GCCUUCAUGGUGUAGUGGUCAGCACACUCGGCGUGUAUUCGAGAGGUCCAUGGUUCGAGUCCCGGCAAGGGCA